rnacentral:tRNA from 1 species
AGCUUUGUAGUUUAAAUAAAAUAAUUGUUUGUGGUACAAAAGAUAAAAAGCUA